AUUGAACGCUGGCGGCGUGCUUAACACAUGCAAGUCGAUCGGUAACAGGUGUAGCAAUACAUGCCGACGAGAGGCGGACGGGUGAGUAAUGCUUGGGAAUCUGCCUAUUAGUGGGGGACGAACCCGGGAAACGUCGGCGUAAUACCGCAUACGCUCUACGGAGGAAAGACCGGGGACCGGCAAGGCCUGGCGCUAAUAGAUGAGCCCAAGUCGGAUUAGCUAGUUGGUAGGGUAACGGCCACCAAGGCGACAAUCCGUAGCUGGUCUGAGAGGACGACCAGCCACACCGGAACU
rnacentral:rRNA from 1 species